UACGUAGGGUGCAAGCGUUGUCCGGAAUUAUUGGGCGUAAAGAGCUCGGUAGGCGGUUUGUUGCGUCGGCUGUGAAAUCCCGAGGCUCAACCUCGGGUCUGCAGUCGAUACGAGCAAACUAGAGUGUUGCAGGGGAGACUGGAAUUCCUGGUGUAGCGGUGAAAUGCGCAGAUAUCAGGAGGAACACCGGUGGCGAAGGCGGGUCUCUGGGCAACAACUGACGCUGGAGGAGCGAAAGCGUGGGGAGCGAACAGG
rnacentral:rRNA from 1 species